rfam:Ricinus communis ctg_1100012361560, whole genome shotgun sequence.
UUUGGGAAAUGAUGCCCAGAUUCAAAUAGAUUAACAGAGGCGCCAGCUCUGCUGAUUAAUCUUUUGCACGUCAGUCUGAUCCCAAA